rnacentral:rRNA from 1 species
GAUGAACGCUGGCGGCGUGCUUAACACAUGCAAGUCGAGGGGCAGCGGGGCAGGAAGCUUGCUUUCUGCCGCCGGCGACCGGCGCACGGGUGAGUAACACGUAUGCAACCUGGCCGUGACAGAUGGAUAACCGGGAGAAAUCCCGCCUAAUACAGCAUGACGCCGGGAAGGGACAUCCCUUUCCGGCCAAAGGGGGCGACUCCGGUCACGGAUGGGCAUGCGGCGCAUUAGGUAGUUGGUGGGGCAACGGCCCACCAAGCCGACGAUGCGUAGGGGUUCUGAGAGGAAGGUCCCCCACAUUGGAACUGAGACACGGUCCAA